GCUUCCGUAGCCCAACUGGCAGAGGCACUAGUCUUAGAAACUAGGUAGUGUGGGUUCGAAUCCCUCCGGGAGCAC
rnacentral:tRNA from 1 species